AUGAUCGUCCUCAUCGUCGUCGUCGUGCCCAUGGCUCUGGCCAGCCUCGUCGUCAUGCUCCUCGCCCGCUCUCCCCGACGCCCUGCCCAUGUCGGCGUCGCCCUCGCCGUCGUCCUUGGUGUCUGCAUUGCCGCCGUCGUUUGGGAACCCCGGCGGCGGGCCGUAGUGGGUGUCGGCGGGGUACUUGACCACGGCGUCGAGCAGCUCGGAGCUCGCCUUGUUGGCCGCGUCGUCGGCGCUGGUUAUGGCGUUGGCGGUGGCUUUGGUGCUGGUGUUGUUGCCGGCGGCGGAGGAGGCACCGGAGGCGUGGGCGGAGGAGCGGGAGUAGAGGCGGUCGAGCUCGUCGAAGUAGGGGCAGGUCUUGGCGUGGGCGGGGCGCUUCUUGCCGCUCUCCUUGGCCUUGCGGAAGUACUUGUUGAUGUUCUCCCACUUCUCCUUGCACCGCUUGGCGCUCCGGCCGCCGUACCCCGCCGCCGCCAUGCGCGCGCUCACCUCCUCCCACAGCGGGCCCUUCAGCCCGGGCUCCUGGAACCGGUUGUCCAGCCCGGACCGCACCCGGAUCAGCGCCUCCACCUCCUGCUUCGGCCACCGGGACGACGAGCUCAUCAGCGGCAGCGACAGCUCGCCGCCGUACUCGUAGGGGACCAGCUCCCGCCCCGCGCCGCCGGCGUCGUGGCUCGUCGCGUCGUCGGCGGACGUGGGCGCGUGGUUGGCAGCCGCCGGCGGGGGGAGGGUGAUGGUCUCGCCGGAGAGCUUCUCGAGGUAGGCGAUGAUGGCCGUCUCCCGGGCGGCGGCGCUGGCGCGGUCCUGCGCGCGCGCGGCCGCCUCGCGCGCGAACUUGUCGGCCUCCUGCCGGCGCCACGCCUCGUCGCGCGCCGCGCGCUCGCGCUCCCGCCGCUCCAUGGCGUCCAGGAACUGGCGGUGCAGGCCCUCCUGGUGCUCGAUGAGCCGCUGCACCAGCUGCUCGAAGAAGGACGCCGACGCGGUCAGCUGCUGCUGCUGCUCCUGCCGCCGGCGCUUCCGCUUCCGGCGCGCCUCCCCCACCGACGCCUGCUGCGGCGGAGGCGGCGGCUGCGGCUGCAGCACCGCCGGCGCGUCCUCCCCGGCGGAAGUCUCCGAGGUGUUCGCCUGCGGCGCGUCCACGGCCGCGGCGGCCGCGCCGCCCGGGAGGUCGGCCAUGGACGGCGGCGGGAGGAUGGCAUUGUCGUCGCCCGUGAGGCCAGAGCCGGAGCCCGUCUGCCCCGCACCGCCGCCGCUCCCCGGCUUGUAGAUGGCCUCCAGCUCGCUGAACAGCUUGUAGUUCCCGCCGCCGACGCCCGCGGACGCCGCAGCGCCCGCAUUGUCGUCGUCCCCGCCACCGGCCUUCUUGAAGUAGUUCGCCGCCGGAGCAACCGGCGCCGGCGACUCCGGCGUGGCCACCUUCUCCUUCCUCUUGCUGCUGCUGCUCGUGCUGUGUAUGUAGUCGAUGUCCAGCGGCCUCCUACACAAAUCAUCACACCAAAAUCCACAAUUCAACUUAGUCCUAAACAAGAUGAACAAACCAAACCAAUUGGCAAUGUUAAGUGCAAAAAGCAACAAGAAAUUGGAGCAAUUCAAGCAAGGAUUUCAUCUGCCAUGGCACAAUUUGGGAACAUCUGCAUGGCAAAUUGUGGCAUGCAGAGCAAGAAAAGAGUGUCUCUUUUUGCGUGA
rnacentral:rRNA from 1 species